GCAACAUACAACACAUAAUAUAUGACAGUAUGCAGCCAAAUGCGACCUCCGAAGGAUAACUACCUUGAACUCAUUAACCUUCUGAUCCGCAUGGUCACAUAUUAGUCAAGUUUUGGGUUUGUCAGCUCAUUCGGUAGAGAAACCCCAAAUGCAAAAAUAUACAUGAUUUCAAAUCAUGUAUAUUUUUAAGUUCAGUAGCUUUACUUUGCGCUAUACAGACGAAUGUUGCUAUUUGCCUGCAUUGUUGGUGGAAUUAAAGACUUGUAUACGUAAUGUUAUGCAUGAGGCGUUUUGUUGUAACUUAGUUGAUUUAAUAUGAACUGUGUCUAUUUCAAAUCAUAUGGCAGAGGUGAGGUAAUAACUUUUCCAAGUUUAGAAACCGACAUUACAUACAGCAUUACUGAAUGCGAAUUAAUUAUUCGACGCAUUACUUAAGUUAUUAAUUAAAUAUUGCUCUCUAAAUUAUGAAAUCAGGGUCAUAAUAAGGUAAACUUUACAUUUUAAUAAUGUUACGCGUUCGUUAUUUUGUCAGAUUUUUUUUUGUUAUGAACAAAGCAGUGUGUGAUUUAUCUUUGGACUCGUCGCGCGCGUGCUUUUGUCUGGUGCGGUUUCUGUCAAACGCAAUAACUGACAAUAUUGCCAAACAUAUUUAUUUGUCAAAGUGCUUCCAUGAUGUUCUCGUCAGUGUAUUAUUUGACGUCACCGGAGUUUUGGUUUAGGUGAAUGGCUAUUUUGAAAGGAGGGGGGCACGGGGCAAAAAAAACCCGAAAUGCGCGACCUGUUUUUUUUUACUGCUAAUUUGCACGACGCCUCAUUUUGUGUCACCAUACAUUCAGUUCAUUCUUUAAUGGGUCUACGUAGCCCAAACACACUUUAAUAAAUCUCACUCAUAACCUCGAAAAGAGGACUGACUGACUUUCCUCUUUUAUCACGCUACACGUUCAUCUAACUCACGAAGCUUGAGUGCCAUCUAGUGGGGCAUUAAUGUAAGGACAUUACAGCGUGUAAAUCAAUCCUUACUAUAGUUAGCUGCUGCUGACCUAAGAUCAGCAUAGGAAAUGUAUAUGGCUAAUUUCAGGGACAUCUAUAUUUUGCUCAUAUUCUGUACCUUUUGUUGUAAAUGGAGUCUUUUAAACGAUCUUAUGCCUAGAAUUAGGGAAGGAGGUUUGCAUGAUUCUUUGGUUCAUAACUAUUGUGAAAGUUUGAUCAAUUGUGCAUAAUGACAUUCAAUAAAUGCAUACAGAGUUACAAGACCAUCACUACUUCCGGUUCAUGGUGACUUUCAAGGGCACUACAUUGUGUUUAUCCGGGCCUGCUAAUAAGAACACAAAAAUCAUUCAUAGUGAUCCGGACACUGGGUUUAAAGUGACAGCACAUUGUUUUAGGUCCGUUAAAUGGAGGCUUGUAACUAUUAGCAGAUAAACGCUAUGCUAACUUGUUUUUAACGUGUUCUGAUGUUAUAAACACUCAUUUGUCAGCUUCCUGCAGCCUCGCGCCCUUUCCACUUCUGUCAUGUGCAUUAAAAAAAGUGCCAGUUAUAAAAUUCUUCAACUAUUUAUCCACAAUGUGAAAAUACCAUGUUAACUGUUAAUGUGUUUUUUUAUGUCUGAUCUGUCCAGAUGUUAGAAAGAUAAUGCUAACAUUAGCUGAGGUGGUCGAGAAGAUCGCGAGUAAAAUUCAACCCGGACAAAGGGCCAAUAAAUACUCGGGUGAAGAGGCAUUUUUGGCCAUUCCACAGAGCUUGAGAGAUAUGGUGGCGGACCAUGAUGCUCGUAGACAGACUGACAUGUCUACAGCUCAGGGGCAAGAAGGAACAAGCUGCGGGGAACGAGAUUCACAACGGAGGUUGUGCGUCUCUGCACCCGCAGUUCUUGAAACUAGGUUUGUCCUUCCGGGGGCAAUUGAUGACGAAGAGUGGGUCCCUGCAGUUGUGUCUACACCUGCAGCGGCUUUAGAUGAGGAAGAGAGAAGCUUACCAGAACCAAAACCAAAAAGCCGGAAGAGAAUCCGUGCUUUCAUGCGCAGAGCAUGGCGGGCUAUCCAAAAAGCCUGCUGUUGCUGCAUAAUUGAGGAUAACGUGGAGCCAUUUUGAUCCUCAUUUUGACCCGUAUAGAUGAAGCUGAUGUCUAUAAAGGUUCUGGUAUUAAGCAAACGGGUUUUUAAGAACCACCCUAUUGCCGGUCAGGUUCGUCAUUCCUUGGAUAUAUCAGCUAUCCAAGAAGCAGCUGAUCAUAUGGUCCAUUCGACCAUCGCCCAUGUGCUCCGGCAGAUCAGCUGAUUUUAAGUCGGGUUUUUCUUACCUGCACCCAGCUCGUGAUAAAACACUGGCAGUAUAGUCCCUUCGGACUCGAGCCGGCGAGAUUGUUUUCCUUGGAGAAAUGCCUUUCCAAGAAGAGGAUGAUCAUAAAUGUGGUCCUUUCGACUACGGGCGUCAUGCUCAACCGGAUCAUGCUGAUUAGUCAGUCAGGUUUGUGUAACCUGCACCCAGCUCGUGAGAAACACAGGCAGUAUAGUCCCUUAGGACUCGAGCCGGCGAGCUUGUGGAACCAGAAUAUUGCCAGUCUGGUUCAUCAUCUUUGGACGUAACAGCUUUCCAAGAUGCAGCUGAAUGAUCAGGUUCAUCUAGCCUGCGGUCAAGCGAUAGUGAUCGAAAAAUGCCAUUGCUUUAUGAAGUGGGAAGACAGAUUGGAAGAGGUGCCUUUAGUAAAGUGGAUGAGGGGACUCGCCAAUCUGAUGGCAUGAAGGUAGAACCGCUCUUUAUCAAAUUGUUUUGCCAAACCUACAUUAUAUAUGACUUACAUAUGAUUAUUUCUCUCUUGUACGUCACCAUCAAAUAUAUUCGGAAAUCUGGCAAGGAAAUCUUCACCAAAAUAUCCUCGAACCCGAGGACAUUGAGACAAACAGACCCAGUUCCAGCCGCCGUGGAGGUCAACACACCACUGAUCUACUGGGCGUCCUUUAACGUGAUGCCCAGCCGAUGCCUGACCAACGACCACCGGCGGAACCUGUUUAAUCUCCUCAUCCGUUUACAUAUAUCUCCCAAUGGUUUUUUCCCUCCUAGGACUUUUUUCCCUCCUUGCAAAAAAAUUCAGGAGGUUUUUCUCCUAGGGGGCUUUUUCAACCCGGGGAGUCAGCCGACAUUGGCUUAACAUAGCACCCUCUUCUAUACGUUACAUUAUUAAUACGCUCGCUUGUAAAGUUUAUUCAUAGCCGCUGUAUUUUGCUACUUAUAUUGUCUUUUUUUUUUUUUGCUUUAAAAGCAUUACAAUAAAUUUGAUGCCUUUUAUUUUUAAUAUAAUGCAUAUUUUUAUUAAAUAUAAUAAACACACAUAAAUAUGAAAA